rnacentral:rRNA from 1 species
CGUGUAGGCGGCUUUGCAAGUCGGGUGUGAAAGCCCUCAGCUUAACUGAGGAAGUGCGCCCGAAACUGCAGAGCUUGAGUACCGGAGAGGAUGGCGGAAUUCCCCAAGUAGAGGUGAAAUUCGUAGAUAUGGGGAGGAACACCGGUGGCGAAGGCGGCCAUCUGGACGGAUACUGACGCUGAGACGCGAAAGCGUGGGGAGCAAACA